GACCGUUUAGCUCAGUGGUUAGAGCGUGUGCUUUACAUGCUAUUCUAGUAUCGCACAAGGUCGAAGGUUCGAUCCCUCCAACGGCCA